GAUGAACGCUGGCGGCGUGCUUAACACAUGCAAGUCGAACGGAAAGGCUCCUGCUUGCAGGGGUACUCGAGUGGCGAACGGGUGAGUAACACGUGGGUGAUCUGCCCUGCACUUCGGGAUAAGCCUGGGAAACUGGGUCUAAUACCGGAUAGGACGAUGGUUUGGAUGCCAUUGUGGAAAGUUUUUCGGGGUGGGAUGAGCUCGCGGCCUAGCAGCUUGUUGGUGGGGUAAGGGCCUACCACGGCGGCGACGGGUAGCCGGCCGGGGAGGGGGUACGGCCACAUUGGGACUGAGAGACGGCCCAGACGCCUACGGGAGGCAGCAGUGGAGAAUAUUGCACAAUGAGCGCAAGCCUAAUGCAGCGACGCCGCGUGGGGGAUGACGGCCUUCAGGUUGUAAACUCCUUUCGCUAGGGACGAAGCGCAAGUGACGGUACCUGGAGAAGAAGCACCGGCUAACUACGUG
rnacentral:rRNA from 1 species